CACACUCAUCUAUACAGUCCACACCAUCACACACACACACACAUCUAUACAGUCCACACCAUCACACACACACAUCCAUACAGUCCACACCAUCACACACACAUCCAUAUAGUCCACACCAUCACACAUCCAUACAGUCCACACCGUCAUACAAACACACACACAUCUAUACAGUCCACACCGUCACACAUCUAUACAGUCCACACCGUCAUACACACACACAUCUCUACAGUCCACACCAUCACAUACACACACACAUCUAUAUGGUCUACACCGUCACACACACACAUCUAUACAGUCCACACCGUCGUACACACACGCCCACACCCGCAUGCCCACACAUCCAUACAGUCCACAUUCACGUAUGCCCAUAUGCAUCCAUUCACACGUGUGUACACAUGCUCACACACAUUCAUAGACUCCACACAUGCACACGUGCGCACACACGCACAUGCUCGCACACAUGCACAGAUACACUCACGUCCACACACGCUCAAACAUGCGUGCACACCCGGAGGUGCCCAGAGGGGCAGGGUGGGGAGAACCCC
rnacentral:lncRNA from 1 species